rnacentral:misc_RNA from 1 species
GGGAUUAGGACUGGUAUUGUAGCUGGCAUGAUUGCAUUGACGGAAGCUGUUGCAAUCGGAAGAACAUUUGCUUCAAUGAAGGACUACCAGUUGGACGGAAACAAAGAGAUGGUGGCUCUUGGAGCUAUGAACAUCGUUGGCUCGAUGACAUCCUGUUAUGUAGCUACAGGUUCCUUUUCUCGAUCAGCAGUAAACUACAUGGCUGGCUGCCAGACCGCAUUUUCCAACAUUGUCAUGUCUGUUGUCGUGUUCCUAACUUUGGAG